AGCACUUUGUGUAUGUUUGUUCAAGUGGUGGACAAAGGCAUGAAAGACAGGUACAAAAAUAAAUCCUCUUUUGCAACCCAGAACUCAUCGUUCACUAUGAGUUUUGAUAUGUACAAGAAGAAAUUAU
rnacentral:snoRNA from 1 species